rnacentral:rRNA from 1 species
AACAGGAUUAGAUACCCUGGUAGUCCACGCUGUAAACGAUGUCUACUUGGAGGCUGUGGUCUUGAACCGUGGCUUCCGGAGCUAACGCGUUAAGUAGACCGCCUGGGGAGUACGGCCGCAAGGUUAAAACUCAAAUGAAUUGACGGGGGCCCGCACAAGCGGUGGAGCAUGUGGUUUAAUUCGAUGCAACGCGAAGAACCUUACCUACUCUUGACAUCCAGAGAACUUAGCAGAGAUGCUUUGGUGCCUUCGGGAACUCUGAGACAGGUGCUGCAUGGCUGUCGUCAGCUCGUGUUGUGAAAUGUUGGGUUAAGUCCCGCAACGAGCGCAACCCUUAUCCUUUGUUGCCAGCGAUUCGGUCGGGAACUCAAAGGAGACUGCCAGUGAUAAACUGGAGGAAGGUGGGGAUGACGUCAAGUCAUCAUGGCCCUUACGAGUAGGGCUACACACGUGCUACAAUGGCGCAUACAAAGAGAAGCGACCUCGCGAGAGCAAGCGGACCUCAUAAAGUGCGUCGUAGUCCGGAUUGGAGUCUGCAACUCGACUCCAUGAAGUCGGAGUCGCUAGUAAUCGUGGAUCAGAAUGCCACGGUGAAUACGUUCCCGGGCCUUGUACACACCGCCCGUCACACCAUGGGAGUGGGUUGCAAAAGAAGUAGGUAGCUUAACCUUCGGGAGGGCGCUUACCACUUUGUGAUUCAUGACUGGGGUGAAGUCGUAACAAGGUAACC